ACGUAGGGGGCGAGCGUUGUCCGGAAUUACUGGGCGUAAAGCGCAUGUAGGCGGGCCGUCAAGUCGGCUGUGAAAGGCCCUGGCUCAACCGGUGAUUGUCGGUCGAUACUGGCAGUCUGGAGUAUGGGAGAGGGAAGUGGAAUUCCCGGUGUAGCGGUGAAAUGCGUAGAGAUCGGGAGGAACACCAGUGGCGAAGGCGGCUUCCUGGACCGUUACUGACGCUGAGGUGCGAAAGCGGGGGGAGCGAACGG
rnacentral:rRNA from 1 species